AACACAUAUGUACACCCCCCCCCAACAUACUAGGGUGUGUGUGUGUGUAUAUAUAUACACACACACACACAGCCUAGUAUGUUGGGGGGGGGAGUGUACAUA
rnacentral:miRNA from 1 species